rnacentral:rRNA from 1 species
ACAUGCAGUCGAGCGAAUGGAUUAAGAGCUUGCUCUUAUGAAGUUAGCGGCGGACGGGUGAGUAACACGUGGGUAACCUGCCCAUAAGACUGGGAUAACUCCGGGAAACCGGGGCUAAUACCGGAUAACAUUUUGAACCGCAUGGUUCGAAAUUGAAAGGCGGCUUCGGCUGUCACUUAUGGAUGGACCCGCGUCGCAUUAGCUAGUUGGUGAGGUAACGGCUCACCAAGGCAACGAUGCGUAGCCGACCUGAGAGGGUGAUCGGCCACACUGGGACUGAGACACGGCCCAGACUCCUACGGGAGGCAGCAGUAGGGAAUCUUCCGCAAUGGACGAAAGUCUGACGGAGCAACGCCGCGUGAGUGAUGAAGGCUUUCGGGUCGUAAAACUCUGUUGUUAGGGAAGAACAAGUGCUAGUUGAAUAAGCUGGCACCUUGACGGUACCUAACCAGAAAGCCACGGCUAACUACGUGCCAGCAGCCGCGGUAAUACGUAGGUGGCAAGCGUUAUCCGGAAUUAUUGGGCGUAAAGCGCGCGCAGGUGGUUUCUUAAGUCUGAUGUGAAAGCCCACGGCUCAACCGUGGAGGGUCAUUGGAAACUGGGAGACUUGAGUGCAGAAGAGGAAAGUGGAAUUCCAUGUGUAGCGGUGAAAUGCGUAGAGAUAUGGAGGAACACCAGUGGCGAAGGCGACUUUCUGGUCUGUAACUGACACUGAGGCGCGAAAGCGUGG